UUCUGUCAUUUUUGCCAGUUCUGCAUAGUUCAUCAACUUCUCUUGCCACUGUUCUUUAGUUCAGGUUGGACAGUUUCAUUGAGAGAUGUAAACUGAUUCAAACUGGAUUUAAAGAAGGUUUAAACUGGUUUACAAGGUUUCCCAAAGGGAGGUGAUGAGUUGGUAUCCGACAGGUACCAUCUCAUCAGAGGGCCUACCUCUUUGGCAUAAACCUUUCUUUUACCUUUGUGAUUAGUAACCUUAUCUGUCUGAGCACUGAGAUCUCUUUAUCUGUCUCUUUAAAAUUUCCCUGUCUCCUUGUGCCCAGAUUUCUCGAGUUUGGAAUGCUGCCCUUUGGUUAACCUUCUGAAGGACCUUCAUUUAGACACAAAGAAUUCUAGAGUUGGAAGGGACCUUCAUGAUCAUCCAGUCCAACCCCCUGCAGUACAGGAAUAUGCAGGUGUCCUAUAACAGGGAUCGAACCUGCAACCUUGGUAUUAUCAGCACUACGCUCUAACCAAGUGAGCUAUCCAGGCUGACAAUUUGAUGGCAAAUAGAACAGAGCAGGAGGUGUACUGGCCUUCCCUGGCUAAACACAGAGCUGCCAGCACCAUGGAUAUAUACCAAAUGCAUGGUGAUGCUUCUGCCUAAAGAGGAGUCUCUCUCCAGCAGUUGAGGUGAGAACCAGGUUCAGAAGAUUUCAUGUUUAGAUUUGGAAUUCCCAGUAUUUCAAAGCUUCAUGAAAGCACAGAACUGUUGUGUGAGUGAGCGAUGCACGGCCUCUUAUGAAUAUACCCUGCUGGCAAAUAAUCGUUUUCUUGUCAGACUACCUGCAAGGAAGAACAAAGUCAGAACACAUCUGGCAGCUUUAAUUGGAUUUCGGCAGUCAGACUGGGGAGUGUGGCUUGUUCAUAUUUCCUCAACACCAUCUCAUUACAGUGGUACCUCUGGUUACGAAUUUUCGGGUUACGAACACUUUUAACCCGGAACUGAGUGUUCCUGCUUGUGAAUUUAUUUCGGCGUGUGAACGAGGCCUCGGUAGGCCCAGCUGUGGCCCGGAGCUAGGCCCUGGCACCUACCGAGGCCUCCAUUACCAGGUUCUGCCCACGGGAGGUCUCAGGAGGCCUUGCUGCGGCCCAGAGCUAGGCCUCCGCUACCAGGUUCCGGCUGCAGGAGGCCCAGCAGGUUGCACCCCAGCCCCAAACAUUAGGUAAGGAACACUACCUAAGA